UACGUAGGGUCCGAGCGUUGUCCGGAAUUAUUGGGCGUAAAGCGUGCGCAGGCGGUUUGCUAAGACAGGUGUGAAAUCCCCGGGCUUAACCUGGGAACUGCGCUUGUAACUGGCAAGCUAGAGUGUGGCAGAGGGGGGUGGAAUUCCACGUGUAGCAGUGAAAUGCGUAGAGAUGUGGAGGAACACCGAUGGCGAAGGCGGCCCCCUGGGCUAACACUGACGCUCAUGCACGAAAGCGUGGGGAGCAAACAGG
rnacentral:rRNA from 1 species